rnacentral:miRNA from 1 species
UUUGUUCGUUCGGCUCGCGCGA